GAGAAAGAGGAGCAGUGGAUGCUGCUGCCACCACUGUAAAGUAAGGAAAGAUGGGGGAGGGAGAGGAAUACCAGAAGAUUGGCAGCAUGCGUCUUACAGCACAGUGAUGGAGAGGCUAUCUGGAGUAUGGAGAAGAGGCAGAAGAGAAAUGGCCAGGCCAAUUGGACAAAUGGAUACUCGAUGAUCACCCCUACACCUCCCUUUUCAACUGAAGCUGAAGCCAUCAUUUCGUACCCUCUGCUAAAGAAGAACUAUACAUAUUUUCCUUAUGAAACAUUUCACAAUAGAGAAAAUCACUUUGGGUAGAAUAUACAUCAUAUGUAAGAUUUUAAAAAAACAAAAAACCCACAAAAACAAAGCCCCAUGGAUGUGCUGGAAUGCCCAGAACACUACGACUACACUCUGCAUUCUGGUUGACAGGAAAGAGUGUCUGCAGAGUGGAACUAGUAUCAGAGAAGCCACAGCAGAAACAGUAGCUGUGCUCUGUAUACUUGACCUAGUUGAUGUAAUAGGCAGGUAGAUGGUAUCUGACAUCGCUAUAGAAGGACCCUUGCAAAAUGCAGUAGUUGUGGGUCAGAAAGCAAAGUCCUUUUCUGCCUCUGUAGGAUAAGAUGCUGUGUGGAAUGCGAGGCUUAUUGCUAACUCCGGACUGAAGCUCCUUAACAAAAUACUUGGUUGCAUUUUUAUAGAAAAUGCGACUGACAAGGUAACAUAACCCAAGUUAUGUACCACCUUGGGAUAAUUGUAUGAAAGGCAGUGUAUAAAUCUAACAAUAAAUAAAUACAUAAGUUCGGAAUGGUUCCUUGAACAGAUCAUAUAGUGUAGCAGGAAUGUAACACACAGGAUAGUGGGAAUAGUAGGCUUAUUUAAGUAGUGGUGCACAGGUGUGGGCACAAUGUUUUAAGUAGUUGUGCAACUGAGCUCUUGUGCAACACCAGUGGGACUUGUUUCCAUGAGAGCAGCAACACUGGCUGAUUGAGAACUCCAGUACUGUACUGCCUUGUGCAUCAUGUGGGUCACUAUUUCCAACUGUUUGUUUGUUUGUUGAAAUAUGUAAUUACUUAAUCAUAUCCCUCUAAUAUAUAUGAAAGAGCAAUCCAUACAAUUAACAAAUAUUCUUCUCCAAGCUUUGUUAAUAACAUAAGAAGAAGAAGAAGAAGAAGAAGAAGAGUUCAUUUAAUGUCAUUCCGUACUUAUGCUUUUGAAAUGUUUUCUAGCACCACAAAAUGUCUGUGUUUACUUCAAAGGUGUCACAUUAUUACUGAGAAGUGCAAUUCCCCCUGAAAUUUGUGAGUUGGGGAAAGAAAGAAAUGAUUCUCCUUUCCCUUUGCCUUUUUCUUUCCUCCCACCUAUUGAUUGAUUAUUUGGGGGGAGGGAAGGAAGGAGACAAUGGAAUAAAAUCCUUCCUUGUUUUCUCUGGA